rnacentral:rRNA from 1 species
CGUCAAAUCAUCCAUGCCCUUAUGACCUGGGCUACACACGUGCUACAAUGGGCGGUACAAAGGGCUGCGAACCCGCGAGGGGGAGCGAAUCCCAAAAAGCCGCUCUCAGUUCGGAUUGCAGGCUGCAACUCGCCUGCAUGAAGCCGGAAUCGCUAGUAAUCGCGGAUCAGCAUGCCGCGGUGAAUACGUUCCCGGGCCUU